AUUGAACGCUGGCGGCAUGCCUAACACAUGCAAGUCGAACGGUAACGCGGGGGCAACCCUGGCGACGAGUGGCGGACGGGUGAGUAAUACGUAGGAAUCUGCCCAUUUGUGGGGGAUAACCCGGCGAAAGCCGGGCUAAUAACGCAUACGCUCUACGGAGGAAAGCAGGGGAUCGUAAGACCUUGCGCUAAUGGAUGAGCCGACGUCGGAUUAGAUAGUUGGUAGGGUAACGGCCUACCAAGGCGACGAUCCGUAGCUGGUCUGAGAGGACGAUCAGCCACACUGGGAAUGAGACACGGCCCAGACACCUACGGGAGGCAGCUGUGGGGAAUAUUGGACAAUGGGGGCAACCCUGAUCCAGCAAUGCCGCGUGUGUGAAGAAGGCCUGCGGGUUGUAAAGCACUUUCAGAGGGGAAGAAAAAAUCGGAGCUAACACCUCCGAGCUUGACGUUACCCUUAGAAGAAGCACCGGCUAACUCCGUGCCAGCAGCCGCGGUAA
rnacentral:rRNA from 1 species